rnacentral:rRNA from 1 species
CCUACGGGUGGCAGCAGUGAGGAAUAUUGGUCAAUGGCCGGAAGGCUGAACCAGCCAAGCCGCGUGAAGGACGAAGGUGCCCAGCAUUGUAAACUUCUUUUGUCAAGGGACAAAAUCAUGCUCGAUAGCCUGACCGAGGGUACUUGAAGAAAAAGCAUCGGCUACCUCCGUGCCAGCCGCCGCGGUAAUACGGAGGAUGCGAGCGUUAUCCGGAUUUAUUGGGUUUAAAGGGUGCGUAGGCGGACUGUUAAGUCAGCGGUAAAAGCCCGGGGCUCAACCCCGGCGAGCCGUUGAAACUGGCGGUCUUGAGAUGGCGAGAGGUAUGGGGAAUGCGGAGUGUAGCGGGGAAAUGCUUAGAUAUUGCGCAGAACUCCGAUUGCGAAGGCAGCAGACCGGCGGCGAUCUGACGCUGAGGAACGAAAGCGUGGGUAUCGAACAGGAUUAGAUACCCCAGUAGUC